UACGAAGGGGGCUAGCGUUGCUCGGAAUUACUGGGCGUAAAGGGCGCGUAGGCGGAUCAGGAAGUUGGGGGUGAAAUCCCGGGGCUCAACCCCGGAAUGGCCUUCAAAACUCCUGGUCUUGAGUUCGAGAGAGGUGAGUGGAAUUCCGAGUGUAGAGGUGAAAUUCGUAGAUAUUCGGAGGAACACCAGUGGCGAAGGCGGCUCACUGGCUCGACACUGACGCUGAGGUGCGAAAGCGUGGGGAGCAAACAGG
rnacentral:rRNA from 1 species